UACGUAGGGUGCGAGCGUUGUCCGGAAUUAUUGGGCGUAAAGAGCUUGUAGGCGGUUUGUCGCGUCUGCUGUGAAAUUCCAGGGCUUAACCCUGGGCUUGCAGUGGGUACGGGCAGACUAGAGUGUGGUAGGGGAGACUGGAAUUCCUGGUGUAGCGGUGAAAUGCGCAGAUAUCAGGAGGAACACCGAUGGCGAAGGCAGGUCUCUGGGCCGUAACUGACGCUGAGGAGCGAAAGCAUGGGGAGCGAACAGG
rnacentral:rRNA from 1 species